UGAUCGAUAGCUCAGUCGGUAGAGCAACGGACUGUUAAUCCGUGGGUCCCAGGUUCGAGCCCUGGUCGGUCAGCCA
rnacentral:tRNA from 1 species